GGCGAACGGGUGCGUAACACGUGGAUACAUUCCGGGAAGCGGGGGAUAGCCCAGGGAAACUUGGAUUAAUACCGCAUGUGGUCGAAAGACUAAAGACGGGGAUCGAAAGACCUGUCACUUCCCGAUUGGUCCGCGGCCUAUCAGCUAGUUGGCGGGGUAAAAGCCCACCAAGGCUACGACGGGUAGCUGGUCUUAGAGGACGACCAGCCACACUGGAACUGAGACACGGUCCAGACACCUACGGGUGGCAGCAGUCGAGAAUCUUUCACAAUGGGGGCAACCCUGAUGGAGCGACGCCGCGUGGAGGAUAAGGUCUUCGGAUUGUAAACUCCUGUCAUGCGCGAACAAGGUUGCAGGGAUAAUACCUUUGCAAAUUGAUGGUAGCGCAAGAGGAAGAGACGGCUAACUCUGUGCCAGCAGCCGCGGUAAUACAGAGGUCUCAAGCGUUGUUCGGAAUCACUGGGCGUAAAGGGUGCGUAGGUGGCAUGGUAAGUCAGAUGUGAAAGCCUGGGGCUCAACCUCAGAAUUGCAUCCGAUACUGCUGUGCUAGAGUACUGGAGGGGUGACUAGAAUUCUCGGUGUAGCAGUGAAAUGCGUAGAUAUCGAGAGGAAUACCAAAGGCGUAGGCAGGUCACUGGACAGUUACUGACACUGAGGCACGAAGGCCAGGGGAGCAAACGGGAUUAGAUACCCCGGUAGUCCUGGCAGUAAACGGUGCAUACUUGGUGUGGGAAGAUUCGACCCUUCCUGUGCCGGAGCUAACGCGUUAAGUAUGCCGCCUGGAAGUACGGUCGCAAGAUUAAAACUCAAAGAAAUUGACGGGGCCCGCACAAGCGGUGGAGCAUGUGGUUUAUUCGAUGCACGCGAAAACCUUACCUACCUUUUGACAUCCUGCGAAGCCUGCUGAAAGGCGGUUGUGCCGUAAAGAACGCUAAGACAGUGCUGCAUGCUUUCUCACUCGUGUUCUUGAAAUGUGGGUUAUAUUCCGUAACGAGCGCAACCCCUGUGGCUUUGUGCCUCAGUUAGCUUGGCACUUAAGCC
rnacentral:rRNA from 1 species